rnacentral:misc_RNA from 1 species
UCAACCACUCAGGCUUCUUAACAUUGAGAUCUCUCCCAGUGUGUGAACCCAUCAUUCCGCCUGGGUAGGGCCCCUUCUUCUUGGCAGCCGAGGAAUCAUUGUGAAUCUCAAUUGCAGCAUUGGAUGAAUCCACAGAUAAACAUCGAAUUUGUGAAGGAGAAGUACAUUUGUAGUUNNNNNNGGAAUGGGAAUGAUAAGAAGAGAAAUGAAAGAAUCUGGGGAUGGAGAUUGAAGGAUUAGAAAGGGAUUGCACCAUCAUUUGCGUUUGAGCGAUGUUUGCCGAAAAUUGAAGAACCCAAGUUUCAAUUACAAUUAUAAUUUACAGAAAGGAAAUGUUUCAUUGAACUAUCCGCCCUCGUCAUCU